AUUACCCAUCGUGAUGUGGUUAUUGUGAUCGCAAUGCUUUGAUUGCAUGGGGCAAUAUUUUAUUGCCCCUUUAUUUUA
rfam:Escherichia vulneris NBRC 102420 DNA, contig: EV10242002.